CCUACGGGUGGCUGCAGUAAGGAAUAUUGGUCAAUGGACGAAAGUCUGAACCAGCCAUGCCGCGUGAAGGAUGAAGGCCCUCUGGGUUGUAAACUUCUUUUAUCUGGGACGAAAAAAGGGAAUUCUUUCUCACUUGACGGUACCAGAGGAAUAAGCACCGGCUAACUCCGUGCCAGCAGCCGCGGUAAUACGGAGGGUGCAAGCGUUAUCCGGAUUCACUGGGUUUAAAGGGUGCGUAGGUGGGUCUGUAAGUCAGUGGUGAAAUCUCCAAGCUU
rnacentral:rRNA from 1 species